UAAGCAAACACUUCCAGAACACACACUUUGGAGUUAACGUCUCUCUCCACCUCAUCUGGCAGUGGAGCCUUGGAGCCUGUGUCUCAAGGUCAGCCUUUUCCUUCCCAACACAUGCAACAUGAGGACUUCCUCACCCCACCCGCCUCUCCAGCACUGGAAUCCUUCUGCCCAGCUCUGAAAGUUGGCUGUAGCCAAAGCUGCAACUCAGGGAGUGGCUGGAGAGAAAGAAUCUUGUGUCCACUUCUACAAAAGACAGGUGGAGCUGAGCUUCACCGUCAGCAGAAACUGAGGCUAGACAACCAGCACAAGGGCCUAGAAAAAGCACAGUUGGAGGACGACCCUGGGGAGACCGGCUGGAGUCCCCAGAUGUGGUCCCGGUGUGCUCCGCCCAGCUCCAGGGCAAAGGAACAGCCGGUGCGUGGGAGGCAGGGGCAGGGCUGAUGUCUGUAGGAUCCUAGCACCCUCUAUACUCAUUGUGAAAAUGUCCAGCGGUUUUGCCAAGGGGGUGAGGGUAAUACAGGAUGGGCCUGGCACUCUCCCUGAGUCAGCCUAAUACAUUCACAGACUCACCACCAAAACCCCCAACCUCAACCCCCUCAUUACCCUGCCCUGUUUCCCAUCCCACAAGUCACCAUUCUCUGGCACCCCUGCCAACCCCUGCCCUUUUCUCACAAGCCCCACAGUUCUGGGAGUGAAGCACCAAGAGUUUUCUAAUCUGCCUCUCUUUUGCUUGCUCACUGUGGCUGGAGCCAGAGGCGGUGGGGCGGACCUGGCCAGGCUGCCCUAUGAUGCUCUUAUCUUCCCACUUCUAUUGAUCAGCUCCUCUGGAGCGAAGCGUCUUCCCAAACGCUCCUCCCCAACCAGACUCCCUUCAGCUGGCGCCGCACAAGCUAGAAGUACCUAGUGACAGGGCCUCCCCUCCUGGGGUCCCUCCCAUGGCUUAUGCCACGGCAGACAGUGGUCACGCUCAGGCUCUGGAGUCAGAUAGCCUGGAUUUGCACCCUAGCUCUGCCAUUCAUGACCUCUAUUGCCUAACUGCUCCAUACCUCAGAUUCUUCCUCUGAAAAUCACGGAUGACACUAACAAUGCUACAGGAUAUUUCUAGGCAUUAAAAUUAAAAUAUAUAAAGUGCUUGGUCCAUGGUGACUACUCAGGGCAUGUUGGGGGGGAAAGUUAUCACACACAGAUAAGCACAGACACAUACAUACACAGCAUCCAACGUUUUUAUUCAGGAUUUUUAUUUUGUCACUUAAUAUUCUGCUUUAUGCUGCCACUUAACCAUUUCACUCACUAAUACUUUGACGGUUGCACAUCUCCCAGGAUUUCAGAUGCUACUCACCACAAAUUAAUGAAUUGAUCAAUUAGUCAUCCUGUUUCUCAGAAAAUUCUCCACUCUC